GGACUACACGGGUAUCUAAUCCUGUUUGCUCCCCACGCUUUCGUGUCUCAGCGUCAGUACUCGUCCAGUUGGCCGCCUUCGCCACCGGUGUUCCUCUCGAUAUCUACGAAUUUCACCUCUACACCGAGAAUUCCACCAACCUCUCCGGUACUCAAGCCACACAGUAUCGGGUGCACUUCCCGGGUUGAGCCCGGGGAUUUCACAUCCGACUUUUGUAGCCGCCUACACACGCUUUACGCCCAGUAAUUCCGAACAACGUUUGCACCCUCUGUCUUACCGCGGCUGCUGGCAC
rnacentral:rRNA from 1 species